rnacentral:rRNA from 1 species
AAACUACCAAGUGUUAGUACAUCUUAACAGCAGGACGGUAGCUAUAGAAGUCAGAAUCCACUAAGGACUGUGUAACAAGUAACCUGCCGAAUUUCUAUCGAAAUAUGGCGAUGAA